CACCCGUUCCCAUUCCGAACACGACGGUUAAGCCUCAAGGAGCCCAUGAUACUGCAGGGGAAGCCCUGUGGGAAAGUAGGUCGUCGCCAGUU
rnacentral:rRNA from 1 species